AUUGAGGUCUAUCCCGAUGGCUUCCUAUAGCCACACAUCGUUGGAAAUGCUCAUACAGUAAUUGUGUGGUUUUGCUUUACUCACAGGGCCUUU
rnacentral:snoRNA from 1 species